ACAAGUUUUAAUGACUCCAAUCUAAGUGUAUGUAACUUCUGACUUCAACUGUAUAUAAUCAAGUGUUGGCUUUGUACCGCUCUGAAGGACCUAUCCCUUAGAACACAGAACAUCCCUACCACAGAACAAUCACAACUGGACACUUUCUGGGCCUCUGUCUUAAUUUGAGUCCACAUCUGCUCUCAAUGGCCCAGAAAGGAAGAGACUAACGUUGCAAUACAGUAGCAUUUGUCAUGGCUUUUAUAAAACCUGAUUGAAGACAAACCAAACCAGACUAUAAUUAGGACCAUAUGAAAUCUUCUAUGGCUUUCUUAUCUCUGUUUCUGCCUCCUCUUUUCCUCCUCUCUCGCUCUGUCUUGUUUUCAAAGUGGGGACCUCCCCAGAAACCAUCUAUUAUCCAAGACACUUGACACAUUAAAGGAGAAUGGAAACACUUUAGGAAGUAAAUCUAAGCAAAGAGAUGUAUUCGAUCCACUAAUACUAAACAUGUGCAUUUAACAUAAAAACAUCUCUAUAUUUUGUAUUUUGAUCGUCAAUCAGGUUUAUUUGAUCUAUGGUCAGCGGAAUUUUUUAUUGCCAUAGUAACGACUGACACCAGUGCAUCACUGACAGGAAUCAAGUGGUAUUGAGUUUUCGCGGGGAGAUUGAAUCGAAGAGAGUUAAGUUAGGAGCGGACAACGAAGAUGGCAAUAACAAGUAGUAAUUCAAACAUGAACUGUAUAGCGCCAGGCUGUAUGAAUUGGCAACAAAAAAAUCCCUCGGUAAACUACCAUCCUGCCCAAGGACCCACAACUUUUGAAGAAUUGGCUCCAUGUCCUGAAGAGGAAGGACGUGCCAGCUAGAGCUAGCAGGAUCUGCAGACAGCACUUUGCAGAGGCAGACCUUUGCGAUGAAGGGCACUUUCAGUCAGGCAACCGGGAGUUUCCGAAUGGAAAGGAGUCAUAACGCCUACGUUGAAGCCCUCUGCUAGUGCCUCCGUUUGUUAUGGUGUAGGCGUUACCGACCAACCAUCAUCAACAUCGCUGACUUUGGAUGAAGUCUGAGGAUGACAUCUUCAUCCCUGAAAAUGUUUUCAUCCUGGAGGAGACUGUGCAGGAGGCAGAGGAGGGAAGAACGGUUAGUACAGCAUGCCAAACUGACUCCUGGGUGCCAGAGUGUUCCUGUGCUGCGGUGGAGAAGAGGUCCACCGGGACCAUCACUAAAGAGCUCGGGGCCCAGCUAGAUUGAGCUCACAACCAUCAGUAUAUAACUGAGUCCUGCCCCUAUACUCCACAGAUGGAGCUGACAGAGAGUGAGAUCAGUGAAGACCACAACUCGCUGUAUGAACCUGAGAGCUCAGAAUCACGAUCAUCACAGUGCGAGCCAAGAUAUACUAUCGAUCACUUUGGGGUAGCGGGAUGGUGUUCCAAAAAUGGAGAAGGAGCAGGCCAUUCAACAGCGAAUUAAAAGAUGCACACAUCCACAAAGGAAAUCGGGGUGGAAUUGUUUUUCAGCUGAUUUCUUUUUUUUACCCGUUUCAACCCGUUUUUAACCUUGUCCCAAUGGAUGUGCUACCUUGUCCGGGUCCUGCUGUUUCGACUCUCUCAACCUAUGAAUGCUCAGCUAUGAAAAGCCAACACCUCAGGAGCAAAUGUCAGUUGAACUGUUGCACCCUCUAUAACCACUGUGGUCAUUAUUUUUGAUGUAAAAAAGGGCUUUUGAAAAAAUACAUUUGAGUGAUUGAUUGUUUGCUGUGCUGGAUGCUGUGUAUUCACCAACUGUCUGAGUGAUGGGACAUUUUUAUAGAAUCUGUAACAUAUUUUGGGGUGUAUUUAAUCUGCAUCUUAACUUCUUAAAGUGGCAAUUAGCAGUAGAAAUAAUAAAAAAGUGUCUCCCUGCUCCUCUUUGGGUAAAACGCUGAGGGAUUGGGGCUGGAGAAAUGUAACCACUCUUAAAUUCAAAGACAGUACUAUAAAUGCAAGGACUGACCAUCCAUGAUAUCAACAUUGUAAUCCUGUUUCUAUGAUCUGUUUCCACUACCAUGUACCCAGUUCGCUUUGGAUAAAGGUGUCUGCUAAAUGGCAUAUACAGUGGGGCAAAAAAGUAUUUAGUCAGCCACCAAU